rnacentral:rRNA from 1 species
AGAGUGAACGCUGGCGGCAGGCCUAACACAUGCAAGUCGAGCGGCAGCGCAGCAGUAGCAAUACUGUGGGCGGCGAGCGGCGGACGGGUGAGGAACACAUCGGAAUCUACCCUGUCGUGGGGGACAACGUAGGGAAACUUACGCUAAUACCGCAUACGACCUUUGGGUGAAAGUGGGGGACUCGCAAGAGCCUCACGCGAUUGGAUGAGCCGAUGUCCGAUUAGCUAGUUGGCGGGGUAAUGGCCCACCAAGGCGACGAUCGGUAGCUGGUCUGAGAGGACGACCAGCCACACUGGAACUGAGACACGGUCCAGACUCCUACGGGAGGCAGCAGUGGGGAAUAUUGGACAAUGGGGGCAACCCUGAUCCAGCCAUGCCGCGUGGGUGAAGAAGGCCUUCGGGUUGUAAGCCCUUUCUGCGUGACGAGACAAGGACGGUAGCGCAGGAAAAGUCUCGGCUAACUACGUGCCAGCAGCCGCGGUAA